ACAAAGAACUGAAAAAUGUGCUAGAUGCAGAGAAUGAAUAAUAAUUAAAAUAUUACAGUCAUUUGUAUAUCAUGUAUGAAGUUCAUAAAUCAAAUUUUAAAAAAAAUCCCAAAUCUAACAACUUCUAAUAAAUGCUCCCUGCAAAACAUAUGGGACAAGAAUGUAUAGGGCAAAGAGAGAGAGAACGGGGGAGAAAGAGAGUUGAGCUCCCUACAAAGUAGGAACAGAAAUAAGCCCACAAUUAUAAAUUUUGAACUUAUGGCCAAAACCUGCACCACAGUUUGGUCCUCAGAAAUUAACUAAUUUUUGGUUCAUGCAUCAUAGGUCAUCACCAGUUCUCCCAUUCCCUUACG
rnacentral:misc_RNA from 1 species